rnacentral:rRNA from 1 species
AGAGUUUGAUCAUGGCUCAGAACGAACGCUGGCGGCAGGCUUAACACAUGCAAGUCGAACGGCUGUAGCAAUACAGCAGUGGCAGACGGGUGAGUAACACGUGGGAACCUUCCUAGGGGUACGGAACAACUCAGGGAAACUUGAGCUAAUACCGUAUACGUCCGUAAGGAGAAAGAUUUAUCGCCCUUAGACGGGCCCGCGUCGGAUUAGCUAGUUGGUGGGGUAACGGCCUACCAAGGCGACGAUCCGUAGCUGAUCUUAGAGGAUGAUCAGCCACACUGGGACUGAGACACGGCCCAGACUCCUACGGGAGGCAGCAGUGGGGAAUCUUGGACAAUGGGCGCAAGCCUGAUCCAGCCAUGCCGCGUGAGUGAAGAAGGUCUUCGGAUUGUAAAGCUCUUUUACCAGGGACGAUAAUGACGGUACCUGGAGAAUAAGCCCCGGCAAACUUCGUGCCAGCAGCCGCGGUAAUACGAAGGGGGCUAGCGUUGUUCGGAAUUACUGGGCGUAAAGCGCACGUAGGCGGAUUGUUAAGUUAGGGGUGAAAUCCCGAGGCUCAACCUCGGAACUGCCUUUGAUACUGGCAAUCUAGAGAUCGGAAGAGGUUAGUGGAAUUCCCAGUGUAGAGGUGAAAUUCGUAGAUAUUGGGAAGAACACCAGUGGCGAAGGC